ACACCAAUGGUGAAGCGGUUAUCAUGCUUGCCUUCCAUUUAUGUGAAAAUUCUGGUAGCAAGCGGCAGGGGUUUGACUCCCCUUUGGUGUA